rnacentral:rRNA from 1 species
GGGUGACCACGUACCUUUUGUAUAAUGGGUCAGCGACUUAGUGUGACGAGCAAGCUUAAACCGCUAGGUGUAGGCGCAGCGAAAGCGAGUCUGAACAGGGCGUUCAGUUCGUCGCAUUAGACCCGAAACCGAGUGAUCUAGCCAUGAGCAGGUUGAAGGUAAGGUAACACUUACUGGAGGACCGAACCCAUAACUGUUGCAAUAGUUCGGGAUGACUUGUGGCUAGGGGUGAAAGGCCAAUCAAACUCGGAAAUAGCUGGUUCUCCGCGAAAUCUAUUUAGGUAGAGCGUCGACCGAAUACCCCAGGGGGUAGAGCACUGGAUGGGCUAGGGGUCCUCACCGGAUUACCAAACCUAACCAAACUCCGAAUACCUGGGAGUACUAGUCGGCAGACACACGGCGGGUGCUAACGUCCGUCGUGAAAAGGGAAACAACCCUGACCUACAGCUAAGGUCCCCAAGUUAUGGCUAAGUGGGAAAGGAUGUGAGGAUCCCAAAACAACCAGGAUGUUGGCUUAGAAGCAGCCAUCAUUUAAAGAAAGCGUAACAGCUCACUGGUCUAAAUAAGGGUCUUUGCGCCGAAAAUGUAACGGGGCUAAAGCCAUACACCGAAGCUUAGGGUGGCGAUAAUCCUUCGGGAUUACGCUGCGGUAGCGGAGCGUUCUGUAAGCUGAUGAAGCCAUACCCGUGAGGGGUGGUGGAGGUAUCAGAAGUGCGAAUGCUGACAUGAGUAACGUAAGGGGAGUGAGAGACUCCCCCGCCGAAAG